rnacentral:rRNA from 1 species
GUGGGGAAUUGUUCGCAAUGGGCGCAAGCCUGACGACGCAACGCCGCGUGGAGGAUGAAGGUCUUCGGAUUGUAAACUCCUGUUGCUCGGGACGAAAAGCUUCGACCUAACACGUCGAAGUCUGACGGUACCGGGUGAGGAAGCCCCGGCUAACUCUGUGCCAGCAGCCGCGGUAAUACAGAGGGGGCAAGCGUUGUUCGGAAUUACUGGGCGUAAAGGGCGCGUAGGCGGCCCGCUAAGUCGAACGUGAAAUCCCCGGGCUCAACCCGGGAACUGCGUCCGAUACUGGCAGGCUUGAAUCCGGGAGAGGGAUGCGGAAUUCCAGGUGUAGCGGUGAAAUGCGUAGAUAUCUGGAGGAACACCGGUGGCGAAGGCGGCAUCCUGGACCGGCAUUGACGCUGAGGCGCGAAAGCCAGGGGAGCAAACGGGAUUAGAAACCCCAGUAGUCC